UACAGUCAUAUCAUGGUGAAACACUAUUUCUCGUACGGUCAACGAAGUUAAGCAAGGUCGCGCCUGGUCACUACCUAGAUGGGUGACCGCUUGGGAAAACUAGGAGCU